rnacentral:rRNA from 1 species
AUUGAACGCUGGCGGCGUGCCUAACACAUGCAAGUCGAGCGGUAACAGGUGUAGCAAUACAUGCUGACGAGCGGCGGACGGGUGAGUAAUGCUUGGGAAUCUGCCUAUUAGUGGGGGACAACUCGGGGAAACUCGGGCUAAUACCGCAUACGCACUAUGGUGGAAAGCCGGGGACCGCAAGGCCUGGCGCUAAUAGAUGA